GAAAUGCGAUAAGUAAUGUGAAUUGCAGAAUUCAGUGAAUCAUCGAAUCUUUGAACGCACAUUGCGCCCGCCAGUAUUCUGGCGGGCAUGCCUGUUCGAGCGUCAUUUCAACCAUCAAGCCCCCGGCUUGUGUUGGGGACCUGCGGCUGCCCGCAGGCCCUGAAAAACAGUGGCGGGCUCGCUGUCACACCGAGCGUAGUAGCAUACAUUCUCGCUCAGGGCGUGGUGCGGGUUCCGGCCGUUAAACGACCUUCAUAACCCAAGGUUGACCUCGGAUCAGGUAGGAAGACCCGCUGAACUUAAGC
rnacentral:misc_RNA from 1 species